CUACGUGCCAGCAGCCGCGGUAAUACGGAGGGUGCGAGCGUUAAUCGGAAUAACUGGGCGUAAAGGGCACGCAGGCGGUGACUUAAGUGAGGUGUGAAAGCCCCGGGCUUAACCUGGGAAUUGCAUUUCAUACUGGGUCGCUAGAGUACUUUAGGGAGGGGUAGAAUUCCACGUGUAGCGGUGAAAUGCGUAGAGAUGUGGAGGAAUACCGAAGGCGAAGGCAGCCCCUUGGGAAUGUACUGACGCUCAUGUGCGAAAGCGUGGGGAGCAAACAGGAUUAGAUACCCUGGUAGUCCACGCUGUAAACGAUGUCGAUUUGGGGGUUGAACUAUAAGUUUGGCGCCCGUAGCUAACGUGAUAAAUCGACCGCCUGGGGAGUACGGCCGCAAGGUUAAAACUCAAAUGAAUUGACGGGGGCCCGCACAAGCGGUGGAGCAUGUGGUUUAAUUCGAUGCAACGCGAAGAACCUUACCUACUCU
rnacentral:rRNA from 1 species